CAAACUUUCUUACAGGAAACACGUUCAGAGAAUGGAGACAUGAGGAAGCUCUUCUAUCACCCCCCAGACACAUCUUAUCAGAUCUUAUCUAGUAACACGUCAUUCUCGCACGAACGCUUAGAUACAAAGUAAAGCGCGCCAAGCAAUGCAAUGAGUGGGACUUCCCGAGCGGCGUGGAUCGUGGCCGCGCUCUCGUCUCCACUGCGCGCGCUCAGCCCCCCUAGCAGGGAAGGGCAGGGAAUUUUCCUGCGGAGUUUUUCACCGGCAACCAAUUGUGUGGGAUUUCCCGAUGAAGACAGACAAUUUCUAUUCCAUAUAGGGGGUGUGGGAUCCUCCCGAGUUUCUGCCUUACUAUUGUUGGAACACUGUCAGGGAGCUCAGUGGAGAGAAGUGGAGUAAUUCUAGGAAAUCACUGCAGCUGAUGUAACCCAUGUCAACUUUUAGUUUUUGUUUCUUAGUUUAUUUAGCUAUUCUGGGGAGUCACCAGGAGUUUAUUAGAGAGCAUUUGUGAAGAAACGGCAUCACGAAGAACAAAUAAACAAGAUAGGGAUGAAGAUACUGCGGACAACUCUACAGCAGAGUUAGGUUUUAAAACUUUUUUUUCUUUUUUUUUUUAAUAACUCAGCGAGCACUGUUCCAAUUCAUAAUCUGUAGGUGGAAGUAGUGCAAACUGCAAACCUGUGAGACAUGGAAAUCCACUUCAACUGACAGACUGGGCAAGGAUAGCUUUAAUCAGAGAUGCACCCACAUGGUACCUGUUGCAAAUAGCUUCAGCUCAGGUGUGAGAGGGUGUUAACAAGCAGACUAUUAGUGAUCUGGCCUUAACAGAGCACACGGCAAUCAAAUUAAGGAAAGUGGUCUCAUCAGAUUAGAUGACAACUAAACGUUUUGGCCUGCAUGCAAAAUGCUUCGUUUGCUGGAAAACUCAUAGGAAGAUUUUCUUCAGCAGUGACAAGGAGGUGGAUCAGAGUUGAUGGGAAGAUGUAUAGAGCUAAAUACAGGAAAAUCAUUGAAGAUAACCUGUUAGAGACUACAAAGGCAGAAAGACUGAGGGUGGGGUUCAGGUUUCCAAUGAAACUAAGCAUAAAGCCAGGGCUAUACAGGCAUGUCUAUGUGUUAGAAUAGUCUUGUAAAAAUCCAGAUCUGAACCCAACUGAGAUUUUGUAGUAAAAAAAAAAAAAAAAUGUUUUCACAGACAAUCUCCACCCAGUCUGACAGAGCUUGAACCAUUUUGACCAGUAGAAUGAGCAAAAAUGCAGGUAGAGACAUACCCUAAAGGAUUGGUAGCUGUUAUAGUAACAAGACAUGUGGAAAGAUUCAGGGGGUAUUAAUAUCAGCUUUUACUAUUAUUGUUAUUUUAAUUUUUUUCUAGUAGUAGUAAUAGAAGCUUCUAAUUAUUAUUAUUACAAUCCCAUUGUUGUUGUUAUUGGAUGACAUCUUGUUUUAAAUCCCACUUCAACAGUAACUACUUAUUUAUUCAUCAUUUCUGAGUUUCUAAUCAUUAUUUCCAAGUAUGGUUCAGCCUUAUUGGCAGUUUGCAGCAAAAUGCACUGAAAACUCUGCAUGCUGUGUCAGUGAAUCUGAACAUUUAGGCCACCUGAAGGGAUAAAACUGUAACUUGAAGCUUUGGCAUUAGGUGCUUGAGCAUCCGAUCUCUAUCCCCACUGGACCAUCUGCUUUGACAACUCAGUGUCACUGGAUCAGGCCGAAGCCCUCAUUUGUCAGCCACACAAUGACAGCAUAGGCUUGUACAGGUGGGAAAUUGCAAGCAGGGAUUACUAGAAGAAAUAUUUGAAUUUUAGCAUUGAUCUGUAAUACUUUGUAACAGCAUCUGUUGCAAAGCAAUUUAAGGGAUCCUGUUUUAGGCUGCAUACCAGCUUCAAAGACUGCUUUGCAAUCCAAAGUGAAUGCCAUUCAUGUGAUGUGCUUCCUGCUACUGCAUGGCAGCACAGUCGUGUCAAACAAUGCACUUUUUAUUCACUGUAAGCAUCUGUAUAGAGUACCAUUGUUUUAGCUUUGAUGAAUAAACUUAUUUCUCACA